rnacentral:sRNA from 2 species
UAUUCUGCCCCACGGGGAAGGAUGAGAAGCUUCGACUAAGGUUCGACUCGAGCGAAGCGAGAGAACGUUGCCGCAGGCAAUGGCCCGAAGGCGAGGCGCUUUAGCGCCGAGUAAUCCUUACCCCACCACUG